rnacentral:rRNA from 1 species
AGCUAAUACCGGAUAAUAUUUUGAACCGCAUGGUUCAAAAGUGAAAGACGGUCUUGCUGUCACUUAUAGAUGGAUCCGCGCUGCAUUAGCUAGUUGGUAAGGUAACGGCUUACCAAGGCAACGAUGCAUAGCCGACCUGAGAGGGUGAUCGGCCACACUGGAACUGAGACACGGUCCAGACUCCUACGGGAGGCAGCAGUAGGGAAUCUUCCGCAAUGGGCGAAAGCCUGACGGAGCAACGCCGCGUGAGUGAUGAAGGUCUUCGGAUCGUAAAACUCUGUUAUUAGGGAAGAACAUAUGUGUAAGUAACUGUGCACAUCUUGA